CGGGACGUGGUGCAGCCCGGUAGCACACUCCCUUGGGGUGGGAGAGGUCGUGAGUUCAAAUCUCGCCGUCCCGA
rnacentral:tRNA from 1 species